rnacentral:lncRNA from 1 species
UAACUAGUCUCAAAAGAUUGGUCUCGUAAAUUACAGAUAUGUAAUUAGUUUUUGUUUCUAUUUAUAUUUAAUACUUCAUAUAAAUGUGUAAAGUUUUAAUGUGAUGAAAAAUCUUGAAAUUUUUUGAAAACUAAACCAAACGUCAGUUUUGUAUAUAUUCCUAGAUACUCCAAAACAGCAUGUAGGGUAUGAUUGGCCCCAUUCCGUGUCAGCAACUGGUUGCUUAGCAGUAGCACAUCACCGAAGGCACAACAGGUCCUGACGGGUGACGGCCACAUCUCCAAGGAUGGGAGAUGUGCUUCAACUAAUUGCACGGCAAUUAUUAUUAACUAUUCGAUCAAUCAUGAUGUUCAUUUAUUUAAUGUGCUGUACACCAAUACCGCACCACUAUUAUAUAAUAAAUCUUUUUUUGUCUUUGAAUCCUAUAAUAAUUA